GUUAUGCAGCUUACAGGUGCCACAGACCAGACACGACACGUGACACAUAACAGGGUGUGAUCGUAGUUCAGUGGACCCACAGCCAGUGUGUUGAAACUUCAUAACUAGCUGGGUGAGUCAGCGGUUGCGGGACUAGACUCGAAGAUUGUAGAAUUUGCGAGGACUCCGCCUGGAGCGAUUUGGAAGAGCCCGGCGCAACAGAUACGUUGUAAUUUGUCCUGAAGCCGCAUGGCAACGGUUUUGGCUACACCGAUUUCGUCUUCUCCAGAUACCCUGGCUGGAAACACCACAGAUGGAGGUGCCAUUGCUGAAGACACCCUGAUUGGAAACACCACCCCUGGAGGUGCCACUGCUGGAAACACCUCGGAUAAAAACUGUUUUGAUCUCUAUUUCUGUUUUAUUGGAUAUGUCGGUUACGGGAAACCUGAUCUCCGUAUCCAUUUUAUUGGAUAUGUCGGUUUGUAAAUCCGGAUCUCCGUGUCCAUGAAAACUGUUUUGAUCUCUAUUUCUGUUUUAUUGGAUAUGUCGGUUUGUAAAUCCGGAUCUCCGUGUCCAUUUUAUUGGCUAUGUCGGUUAUUGGAAUUCUGUCUCCAUGUUCAUUUUGUUUUCAUGUAUCCAGUAUUAUAAAAAGAAUACUACUUUGCAUCUCUUUGCGGUCAUUUUGUGUAUCUCUGUAUCUGUUUUGCAUCUCUUUGGUUGUUUUGCAUCUCUUUGUUGUCGUUUUGUGUCUCUUUGUGGUCAUUUCAUGUCUCUCUGUAGUUAUGCUGCAUCUCUGCGUUUGUUUUGUGUUUCUUUGUAGUUGUUUUGUGUCUCUUUGUGGUUGUUUUGCAUUGCUUUGUAGUUUUGUCUCUUUGU